GUAUGAACAGGUAGACGAAGAUCGUUAACAAUAAACAAAUGAUCGAGAGCAGCCGCACUGCAAAGGAUAUUGGAAACGGAUCAGCGAUAGAUUAAGCAUAAGGAACGCUCGUUAUUGUGGAGGACCAAAGAGCCAUCCAGCUGGCGAUCUACAGUGUGAUAGCCGAGAGCUUAGAGUAUACCUCGACAGUAUGGACCCACAUCUGCGAUUGGAAUAUGAACUGAAUCAUCAACAAGAAUGUUAUGAUCUACAGGACACUCCAGGCUUCAGACUGGAAGUACGCCGAGAUACGGUUUUGGGCGGGAUCUCUGAGAGCCGGCGUUCAGUGAUCUGAUCAAGAAGAAAUCACCUUGACA